AUUAUUUCCGGCUCCUCCCGGAAGUGCCGAAGCUGGCUACUAAGGGAACUUGGGAGGAUCCCACCUCAGCCUUCGUGACUAGUGAGGCCUUUUGUUCCUGUCCCGGAAAGCCGGCGUCCUGCCGCGCGAUGCCCCUGCUCGGACUUCUUCCCAGGAGGGCCUGGGCUUCGCUGCUCAGCCAGCUCCUGCGACCGCCCUGCGCUUCGUGCACCGGGGCGGUCCGUUGCCAAAGCCAGGGUGAAGAGUCUUUGCAGGUUGGUGGUCAACAGGGUCAGAGAUGCCACAGGUCUGGCCAGUGUCCAGAGAAGCCACAUCUCACAUUCAUUCUUCUGCCAGGUUGCAGAGGCAGUGUUAACAUCCCAACUGAAAGCACAUCAAGAGAAACCAAAUUUUAUUAUCAAGACCCCAAAGGGUACCAGGGAUCUUAGUCCUCAGCAUAUGGUUGUGAGGGAGAAAAUUCUUGAUUUGGUUAUCAGCUGCUUUAAACGUCAUGGAGCAAAGGGGAUGGACACCCCAGCAUUUGAGCUGAAGGAUUUUGACAUUGCUGGUCAGUUUGACCCUAUG
rnacentral:lncRNA from 1 species